CCCAGACUCCUACGGGAGGCAGCAGUGGGGAAUAUUGCACAAUGGGGGAAACCCUGAUGCAGCGACGCCGCGUGAGUGAAGAAGUAUUUCGGUACGUAAAGCUCUAUCAGCAGGGAAGAAAAUGACGGUACCUGACUAAGAAGCCCCGGCUAACUACGUGCCAGUAGCCGCGGUAAUACGUAGGGGGCAAGCGUUAUCCGGAUUUACUGGGUGUAAAGGGAGCGUAGACGGCAUGGCAAGUCAGAUGUGAAAGCCCGGGGCUCAACCCCGGGACUGCAUUUGAAACUGUAAGGCUAGAGUGUCGGAGAGGCAGGCGGAAUUCCUAGUGUAGCGGUGAAAUGCGUAGAUAUUAGGAGGAACACCAGUGGCGAAGGCGGCCUGCUGGACGAUGACUGACGUUGAGGCUCGAAAGCGUGGGGAGCAAACAGGAUUAGAUACCCCAGUA
rnacentral:rRNA from 1 species